ensembl:lncRNA
GGCAGAGCCCCAAGAUGGAAAGAGCCUUGGUCCCUGGGUCCCAAGUGGAGGAAAGCCACUGGCCAAUCAAGAACACCUGCCUUGGCCUGUUAUAUGAGGAGGCUGAGGUGUGGGGGAGGAGAGCUUCUGGAGCAGCUGUUCUUGAAAACUCUGUGAUGUGGCGUUGGGAAGACUCUGAGAAGCUCCUGCGAAAGGCAGACCCACCCUGCCCGCUGCCCGGGGACGGUGCUUCCUGCCGCAGCAGCAGUCUCCAUGCUUGGUGGAUGUAAGGUCUGAAGCAGCAGCUUGGGGAGUCCUGGAACGGACUGUGGUGGGGUCCGAGAUAAGAGGGAGCCCUGCCCGUUGUCCACAGCUGCCGUGCAGCUCUGGCUCACCAGCCGCAGCAGACAGGACCCUAACCCUAACCCUAGAACAGGCUGGGGGCUCUGCUGUAGCUCACAGAUGCCGAGGCCCAGCUCCCAUUUGGGGUCAUAAAAUUACACAGCAGUCCUGUGCUCUGAACGGCUCGAGGACAACUCUGCCUCAGCAAUUUCCAGCGCAAAUUUGCUUUUUGUUUGAGUCUGGAAAUAACAGCGGCAGCUUCCCCAGGGCCCAGGAAUCCAGCCACUGGCUCCUCCUGGUUUCUCCUGUCUGUGAGCAAGAUGCAGCCAGGUGCAUAGGGUGGCACUGAGAUUAAGUGACAACGACCUGACUUGGCUACCCCACAGAUGCCAAGACCCCACUCAGAGAGGGUCAGCAAGGACCACCAGGCCUCUCCACACCUCCCCCUGAUCGCACGAGUGGCCUGAAUCCUCCAUGUGCAGCCGAGGGGAGUCUCUUCUUCCAAUUCCAGGCAGCUCUUGGUACUAACCCUGAAGUGGCGAUGACCUGAGCAGCCGGGUCUCGGUGCAGGUCACAUUUAGAGAUUUCUGGUGAGAAUCUUUGCCCAGCUUCCCCGCUCCCUUGGCUGUGGCUACCACCCUCCCUGCCCAAAGUCCGUUCCAAUAAUUCAAAUCCUUCCUCUUCUGCACCCGGCCUGGUUCCUCUUUCUGUCACUUAUGUCCUCGGCCUUUGCUCACCGGUUCCUUCCAAAUGUUCCCUCUCUGAAUCUAGCUGGGUCCUUUCCAUGCCUAGUUUGCAAACAUGUCAGACCUGAUCCCUACCUGCAAGCCCCCAUCUCUCCCAGGGGACCAGGGAGCCCGGGUUUGACAGGUGCAAUGAUCCAGUGCACGUGAGUGCCAGAUGCCCACAGGGAACGCCAGAGGCCAAGGUCUUCCUAGGACUGGCAGCUCCGGAUGGUUCCCAGGGCAGAAAUAACCUGAGCCUGCUGCCCUUUCCUUCUUGAGAGUGACUCAGCAAGAAGCUGGCAGACAGAAACACGAAUCUAGUCCUGGAUCUUGCAGUGGGGGUAGCAGGCAAGGCCAUGGCCUUAGACUGUGCAUGCAGAGAAAGAGGCUAGACGCAGAGUUGGGUGCUGAAAAGAUGCUUAACCUCACUUAGAAUAAGAGAAGUCAAAUGAAAACUGCACCCAGACCCCGUUUUCCACCUAGCAGAUUUGCGAAGAUCAAAGGUUAGAUGCCUCGCUGAGCUGGCAAGCAUGGGAAAGGCGCUCUCAUGCUCUGCUGGCAGGAUGCUGAACCCACGCAGCAGCCAUGGAGGGCAACCAGCAAUCUACUACGCGCACAAAUCCUGUCACCCAGCAAUUCCACUUCUGGAAAUGUGGCGUCCAGCUGGGAAUGCAUAUUUGUGAAACGACCUAGGUGGCACUGUUGACAAGAAGGACAAGGGAUUGGAGAUGUCCUCCAUAGGGGACUGAUUCCACACUUAUGGUAUGCCCUGGUGAUGGAAUACAGUGGCCAGAACAAAGCAUUAAGAGCUGGUGAACAGAUAUGAAGCGUGUCCCAGGGCUAACGCAAAGUGCAAAAACAAAAGCACAGCAAAGCAGGAGAGGAGCAGGCUGUGGGGCCGGCAGGCUUCAAUUCUCAAUGAAGAAAUGGACUGGCAUGCACCAUCUGGUCAAAAAGGCAAAAGAGAUGGGGCUGGCCCCGUGGCCGAGUGGUUAAGUUCGCGCGCUCCGCUGCAGGCAGCCCAGUGUUUCGUUGGUUCGAAUCCUGGGCGUGGACAUGGCACUGCUCAUCCAACCACGCGGGGGCAGCGUCCCACAUGCCACAACUAGAAGGACCCACAAUGAAGAAUAUACAACUAUGUACCGGGGGGCUUUGGGGAGAAAAAGGAAAAAAAUUUUAAAAAAAAAAGGCAAAAGAGAAACAGCCUGUAUGCUCGUCUGGAUGGUGUGCUAAGGGAUAUCAUCUGGAUGGAGACCCCCCAGACUGAUUUCAUCCACUAUACGGGAGCGUUUUCAUGAUGUACCUUUUUAUAAUUUUAAAUUUUUGAACUGUGUGAAUAGAUUACCUAUUGAAGAAGAAAAUACAGUUUGUUUUAAGUUUAUUUUAUUUACUUUUUUUGAGGAAGAUUAUCCCUGAGCGAACAUCUCUGCCAAUCCUCCUCUUUUUGCUCAGGAAGACUGGCCCUGAACUAACCUCUAUGCCCAUCUUCCUGUACUUUAUAUGUGGGACGCCCACCACAGCAUGGCUUGCCAAGCGGUGCCAUGUCCGCACCCGGGAUCCGAACUGGUGAACCCCGGGCCAGCAAAGCAGAACGUGCAGACUCAACCACUGAGCAACUGGGCCGGCCUGAAAAUGCAGUUUAAAAUACGUGGGCCCCACCUCUGUAAUGGAAUGCAAUGACCCCAGAUCUUGAGCGACCAGCAAGUUCCGGGACAGAAGGAGGUGGUGGACGGGAGAGAUUGUUCCGUCUUAAUUCACGUGGCGUGUUACCUUUUACAAAAUGCGUCACUUUUGUUGCCACAGCCAAUGCUCAGCACAGUCCUUUCUUUUUAGAUGAAGAAAAGGAGGCUCAGAGAGGCAAAGUGAUCUUUCAGAAGCCACACAGCAAGUGGCUGAGCCAGGACUUGCAUCUAGGUUUUCCUCCUCACAUGUGUUUUUCUACCUCCCCCUGUGGCUGGAGAGCCCUGGGGGCUCAAGUCACUGCUGUCCCCUUUUCCACCUAGGACAUGAUCCACCCUUCAGUGCACACUGGUCCAGGCACCAGCUGUGCUAUCAGGAUGAUGUCAGAUUCUGGGUCAGCUGCAUCCUCCCUGGGAGACUUUGGGGAAGUUGCUUGUUGGGCCAGCUCUCAGUUGCUUCAUCUGUGAGGCAGGAACAAUAGUGCUACCCACUCCAGAGCGUUGCGGUGAGAGUUUCAUGAGCUAAGGACCAAGAAAACAGUAGCCUAGAAGAACAAACGGGCCAGGCUUCCG